rnacentral:rRNA from 1 species
AGAUAAUAGAUACCCGGGUAGUCCACGCCCUAAACGAUGUCUACUAGUUGUCGGGUCUUAAUUGACUUGGUAAACGCAGCUAAACGCGUGAAGUAGACCGCCUGGGGAGUACGGUCGCAAGAUUAAAACUCAAAGGAAUUGACGGGGACCCGCACAAGCGGUGGAUGAUGUGGAUUAAUUCGAUGCAACGCGAAAAACCUUACCUACCCUUGACAUGUCAGGAACCUCCGAGAGAUUGGAGGGUGCCCGAAAGGGAGCCUGAACACAGGUGCUGCAUGGCUGUCGUCAGCUCGUGUCGUGAGAUGUUGGGUUAAGUCCCGCAACGAGCGCAACCCUUGUCAUUAGUUGCUACGAAAGGGCACUCUAAUGAGACUGCCGGUGACAAACCGGAGGAAGGUGGGGAUGACGUCAAGUCCUCAUGGCCCUUAUGGGUAGGGCUUCACACGUCAUACAAUGGUACAUACAGAGGGCCGCCAACCCGCGAGGGGGAGCUAAUCCCAGAAAGUGUAUCGUAGUCCGGAUCGCAGUCUGCAACUCGACUGC